rnacentral:lncRNA from 1 species
GUACAAGGAGGGCAGAACCGCCGCGGAGCUUUGUGGAAAUGAGGGGCUGGGGGGCGUCAACAGCCCCGGGGAGGGGGCGCGCCGGAGAGGCCGGGCGGCUGCCCCCGCGCCCAUAGGCCCCGGGAGCUGUUCGUCAACACUAGGCCCCGCCUCCUCCCGCGGUUCCCCGCCUCGUCUCGUGCUGCGCUGGCCGGAAGGAAGCGGCACACUUCCGCUUGCCUGGUCCGCAUUGAGUCCGGUCUGUUCCGGAGACUCUGAGCGCGGCCGCGGAGCUGCAGUGGCGGGGAGUGGGGUGCGGAUCUUGUGUUUGCGCACGCAGUCGCCGGCCACCUCAGGCCGGAGCUAGAGAUACGGCUCGGGAUAGGAGGGCCCGGCGGCUCUGAGGCAGGUUCGCCUCGAGCCGCACGGCCCGGAGCAGCGGCUCCGCGGUGGUCCCCGGGGCUUGAGAGGGGUGCGGGCCUGGGAGCCCCUGAGGGCCUGAUUUACGGAACUCCCCCUCCUUCCUCCUUUCUGCCGUUCCCUGCUCUGUGGCGGAUGCGCAGGGAUCAGUAGGGACGGCAGCAGUAGGGCCACUCGGGCCUGCCCCGCUUCCCGCAUUGCCCGGUUUGGCGCGCCGCCUCCGGGCCUUGGCAAAGCCCCAGCGCCCGAUUGUCACUGACCAGUGCUUGGAAGUCCUUUACCGACUGCCCGUCAGCGUCCCGCGGAGAGGAUUUUGCGUCUCCAAAGACGCCCCUCUUCCGAAAACAGGCUCCUCUGUGUUCUCAGUCGGGUAUAUUUUUCUGUCUCCAAACUAGAUUGGCAGCCGUUUUUUGAGAGCAGAAGGGAUGGCCAUCUGGGACCUCCACCCGUGAAAAGGCGGCUCAUUGGUCUGACUCCAACACUAAAUUACGCCAUCCAGGAAGCCUUUCCUAGUCACCUCUGUUGGAGAUCGUCCUCCUUUGUGUGUCGGUUGUUAGUAAAGAGCACACGUUCUGUGGAAAGAUGUUGAGGUAUCUGCUGGAUGGCUUUGAUAGAAACAAAUGUCAGCUGUUUUUUCAGAUGGCAUUUGUCUUGUUUCAGCCUGGUUGUUGGUAGCUUUUCUGUCGCCUGGCUUGAGGGCAAGGACUGUAUGUUUAUUUUUCACGUUAAGAUGCCUUUAUGUGCAUGUGUCUGUUUCAUGAAUACAUAGGUGAAUUGAGUUCCCCUUAAAUAGGAUUUCCCUCUUAUUUUAUAGGUUUUUUUUUUUCUCUCAAGUUGUUUCACUCUGGGGGAAAUGUGACCAUUGUGAAAUAUCAUCGCUUAGUUAAAAAGAAAGUAGAAUUCAGCAGUAGCUGCUUUUUUUAAUACUAUGAAAAGACAUUCCUAAGCAAGAUGAAGCUUUGAGACUUUUCCUAAGUAGGACCUACUGCUGAGAGUAAGUCUUGGGGAGAAUAAGCCAAUUAAGAAUGAGUCUUUGGUUCUGAUAAAGUAACCAUGGAGGUGAUGGAUAAUGAGUGUAGGUCCUUGCUCACACUUCUGGCCAUAUGAGCCCGGAGCCAGGGAGGUACUAUAAAAGGAAUGGGCUCCUGUAAUGGACUGUGACUGCAGUGGUGGUAUAUAGCAAGACUUCCGGUUUGCAGUAGGUUUAGAAGCCUAAAUAGUCUCCCUGGUUGUCUCUGCCAGGGCCACAAAUAGUUGUGCUGUGCAUCUCAAAAGUGUGGUCUGGGGAUCUGCAGCGUCACUGUCACCAUCACUUGGGAGGUUGUUAAGAAAUGCAUGUUAUCAGGCCCUACCCCACGCCUACUCAAUUUAGAAUCUGUAGGGCUAGGGGACCACUAAUCUUUAAGAAGUUGAUAUGGUUAGGCUUUAUGUCCACACCCAAAUCUCAUCUUGAAUUGUAAUUCCCAUAAUCCCCACCUUUCAAGGGAGAGACCAGGUGGAGGUAAUUGAAUUAUGGAGGCAGCUUCCCCCAUGCUGUUCUCAUGAUAGUGAGUUCUCACAAGAUGUGAUGGUUUUAUAAGGGGAUCUUGCCUCUUCGCUCAGCACUUCUUCCUGCCUCCUUGUGAGGAAAGUGCCUUGCUUCCCCCUUUGCCUUCUGCCAUGUUUGUAAGUUUUCUGAGGCUUCCCCAGCCAUGCUGAACUGUGAGUCAAUUAAACUUCUUUCCUUUAUAAAUUACCCAGUCUUGGGCAUUCUUUGUAGCAGUAUCCUUUAUAGCAGUAUGUAUAGCUGUAUGGACUAGUACAGAAGUUUUCCAGAUAAUUCUGUGCUCGGAAAAGUUUGGGAACCACAGCAGAACCUUGUUACUCAACAUGUGGUCUGUGGGCUGUGCAGCAUGGGCAUCACCUGGGGUCUUCUGAGAAAAGCCAGGUCUCAGGUCCUACCCAAGACCUGUGUAGCCAAAAUCUGCAUUUUAAUAUGACCCCCAGGUCAUUUAUGUGUACAUCACACUUUGAGAAGCACUGCACCAGAAAUCUUUUAACACUGUUCAUUACAUCCAUCCCAUGGAAGUAUCUUGUCUUGGGAUCCCGAGGGUGUGAGUUCUUCCGUCUUACUGGCUUUUUCCUGUCUGAUACAUGAUGUCCAUUUUAAAAAUUUUAUUUAUUUUAACUUUUUGAGGUAGAGUCUAACUUUGUCACCCAGGCUGGUGUGCAGUGGGGUGAUUUCGGCUCACUGCAACCUCCGUCUCCCGGAUUGAAACGAUUCUCCUGUCUCAGCCUCCUGAGUAGCUGGCAUCACGUGCUGGCCACCACGCCCGGUUAAUUUUUGUAUGUUUAGUAGAGACAGAGCUUCACCAUGUUGGCCAGGCUGGUCUCAAACUUCUGAUCUCAAGUCAUCCACCUGCCUUGGCCUCCCAAAGUGCUGGGAUUACAGGUGUCCUCCACUGCGCCCAGCCCAGUGUUCAUUUUUCAAUUGUUUGACUUAGUAUAAACACUCUCCAUCAUUCCUGCCUUCUGUGACAACAGACUGUGCGUGUUUCCUCUGUCUACCUUUCAGGCAUUCCUUUUAAGUUUCAUGCAGCUACUCCUCCUCCCUCCUCCCUUCUCUUUCUCUUCUUUCUUCUUUUCUUCUUUCUUCCUCUUCCUUCUUCUUCCUCUUCCUCCUGUUCUUCCUCCUCCUCCUCUCUUCUUUCUUCUUCUCCUCCCUUCUCCCUUUUUGGAAAGAGGACUUACUGUGUCAUCCAGCCUAGAGUGCAGUGGCUGAAUCAUGGCUCAGUGCAGCCUUGCUCUCAAAGGCUCAAGCAAUCCUCCCAUCUCAUCUUCCAGAAUAGCUAGGUUACAGGCAUGCACCACCAUGCCUGACUAAUUUUUUAAAAAUUUUUUUGUAAAGAUUGGGGGUGGCAGGGGGUCUCUCUGUUGCCCAGGCUGGUCUCAAACUCCUGGGCUGCAGCGAUCCUCUUGCCUCAGCCUUCCAAAUUGUUGGGAUUACAGGCAUGAGCCACCAUGCCUGGCCUCCUCUUCCUCUUAAAAAUCAAUGAUUCUGUGGCCCGUGGAUCUGAUUUCCACUGAUACUCUGAUAACUCCUGUUUUUAUGUCCAGGUGUAUCUCCUGGUCUCCAGGUGCCAUAUGUCCACUGCCUAUUGGACAUUUCCAUGUGUGUAAACACCUCAAACUCAACAUGUUAAACCUUUUUCUAAUCCCCACACUUGCGGUUCCUUCUGUGUGCUCCAUUUACCUUAUUGCUCAAAUCAAGAGCCUAGAAGCCAUCCUUGAUUCCUCUCUAUUGUGUAAUCCACACAUCCAAUCAUCCAUUGAGUCCUGUUGGCAUUUAUCUCGUAAAUACCUCAGAUCUUGUUCACUUUGCUCAUCUCUGUUGCCACCACCGUAGUCCAUUUACCUGUAUGUAAUAACCAUAGUGAUCUUACUAAAAUAUAAAUCCCUUGGAGGCGUUUUGGCUUUAUUAUAAAAAUUAAGCUCCAUGACACAGCUUGUAAGGACUGCCACGAAUCAGGCUCUGUUUCCCUCUUCAACCUCUCCUUCACUUUCUAUUCACAUAAACCUCUGUCAGAGGUUUGUCACGUGGCUUAUAAAAAGUCUUAAACCCUCUUUAAUUGACUAGGUACUCUUCAGCCUUUAGACCUCAGCUUACACGAUCUGUGCUGCCUCAUGUUUAUCCUCAUACAGUAUCCGGUUCCACAGAAUCAUGGUUUUUCUUUGUGAACAACAGAAUACCGUGGAAGUGACAGUGUGGGACUUCUGAGGCUAAGUCAUAAAAGACAUCCCAGUUUCAGCCUUAGCCUCUCUUGGAUUGCUCACUUAGCGGGGAUGCCAGCCACCAUGUAGUGAGGACACUCAAACUGCCUGUAGAGAAGGCCACGUAGGCAACAGCCUGCACCACCUUGGCAGCCAUGGGAGUGAGCCAUCUUGGAAGUAUUAGGUUGGUGGGACAUUAAAAGUAAUGGCAAAAACCAAGAUUACUUUUGCACCAACCUAAUAGAUCGGCCAGCUACAGGUCAGCCUUCAGAUGGCGGCAUAAGAGAUCUUGGGCCAGAAGUGCCCAUCUAUGCCACUCCCAAGUAUUUGACACACAGAGACUAUGAGGAUAAUAAAUGUACAUUGUUUUUUUAAGCCACUAAGUUUUGGGGGUAAUUUUGUACAAUGAUAGAUAACCAAUACAAUAUCCACCGUAUGUAUGUGUUACGAUUUAUUUAUUCCCAUCUAGUUGGACAUCUAGGUUGUUUCUAGUUUUAUGCUAUUUCAGGGAAUGCUGUAAGAACAUACUUAUAUUUAUGUAACUCUUUAGGAUGUAUUUCUGGAAACAGGGUUGUUGGAAUUCAUAUUCUUUUUUUUUUUUUUGAGACAGAGUCUCACUCUGUCGCCCAAGCUAGAGUGCAGUGGCGCAAUCUUGUCUCACUGCAACCUCUGCCUCCCAGGUUCAAGCGAUUCUCCUGCCUCAGCCUCCUGAGAAGCUUGGAUUACAGGCACCCGCCAUCAUGCCGGGCUAAUUUUUGUCUUUUUAGUAGAGAUGGGAUUUCACCAUGUUGGCUAGGCUGGUCUUGAACUCCUGACCUCAAGUGAUCCACCCGCCUCGGCCUCCCAAAGUGCUGGGAUUACAGUUGUGAGCCACCAUGCCCAGCCCUAGAACUCAUAUUCUAAAUUGUGAUAAACAUUGGUAAACUACAUUCCAAAAAGGUUAAAGAUUCUAUUGUUUUUCUCUUCCACCAGUGGGUAUUAUGACACUUAUUUCUCCAUGCCAUUGCCAACAAUUAGUUUUUAAAUCUUUGCCAAUCUUAGGUGACAAAUAAUACAUGAUUAGUGUGCAUUCUUUAUUAAUGAGGUGAAGACAAUAUAUCAGGAGUUUAUUGGCUAUUUGCAUUUCUUUUGUAUAAUUUGUCUUUUUGUGUUCUUUCACCAUCUAUUUAAUCUUGCUGUGACGGGAUUAUUUAUAGAUUAUGAGUUUUUUUUGUUUUUGUUUUCGAGACAGGGUCUUGCUCUGUUGCCCAGACUGGAGUGCAGUGGCGCCAUCUCAGCUGACUGCAGAUUCAACCUUCUGAGCUCACGAAAUCCUCCCAUCUCAACCUCCUGAGUAGCUGGGACCACAGGCUGAGCACAGGGUUGCUCCAGGUGGGCCCAAAUGCUGAAGAGCCUCAUGUUAGAGUUUUUCACCUCUGCGAUGGAACUGUGGUGGACUCCAGUAUCAUCAUUCCAGGGAGGCAUAGCCGCACCAACUGUGUUCCCAGGUUUCACAUGGAGAAGGGUUUUAGAAAGUGCAGAUAGCCUUGAAACCAUUGGUUUCCUACCACUGUUUAUUUCAGCAUAACUUUUUUUGUGUGGAAUGCUAGCUCUGGAAGAGCAGAAAUAAAUACAGCUUAAGCUUUGAACCAUAUCCUGCUGUACUUUUUCUCAUAAGCUGGAAAUAGAAUUUUCUAACACCGUUUGUGGUUGGAAAUACUGAAUUUAAAUGGGACUGCAGAUAUAAACAAAAAGAACAAGAUGUGGAUUGAUGUGCCUAUUUCAGUAAAACACAGCCACAUUAUUUCUGAAAUAUGGAUACUAAAGAUGACAAGUAGAAAAAAAAUUGGAGAUGUGCACAGUUG